AGAGUUUGAUCCUGGCUCAGGACGAACGCUGGCGGCGUGCUUAACACAUGCAAGUCGAGCGGUAAGGCCCCUUCGGGGGUACACGAGCGGCGAACGGGUGAGUAACACGUGAGUAACCUGCCCCUGACUCUGGGAUAAGCCUGGGAAACUGGGUCUAAUACCGGAUAUGACCUCGUGCCGCAUGGUGUGGGGUGGAAAGGUGUUUUUCCGGUCAGGGAUGGGCUCGCGGCCUAUCAGCUUGUUGGUGGGGUAACGGCCUACCAAGGCGAUGACGGGUAGCCGGCCUGAGAGGGCGACCGGCCACACUGGGACUGAGACACGGCCCAGACUCCUGCGGGAGGCAGCAGUGGGGAAUAUUGCGCAAUGGGCGGAAGCCUGACGCAGCGACGCCGCGUGGGGGAUGAAGGCCUUCGGGUUGUAAACCUCUUUUACCACUCACGAAGGCCCCUGGUUUUCUGGGGGUUGACGGUAGGUGGUGAAUAAGGACCGGCUAACUACGUGCCAGCAGCCGCGGUAAUACGUAGGGUCCGAGCGUUGUCCGGAAUUAUUGGGCGUAAAGAGCUCGUAGGCGGCCUGUCGCGUCUGCUGUGAAAGUCCGGGGCUUAACUCCGGGUGUGCAGUGGAUACGGGCAGGCUCGAGGUAGGUAGGGGAGACUGGAAUUCCUGGUGUAGCGGUGAAAUGCGCAGAUAUCAGGAGGAACACCGGUGGCGAAGGCGGGUCUCUGGGCCUUACCUGACGCUGAGGAGCGAAAGCGUGGGGAGCGAACAGGAUUAGAUACCCUGGUAGUCCACGCCGUAAACGUUGGGCGCUAGGUGUGGGGACUUUCCACGGUUUCCGUGCCGUAGCUAACGCAUUAAGCGCCCCGCCUGGGGAGUACGGCCGCAAGGCUAAAACUCAAAUGAAUUGACGG
rnacentral:rRNA from 1 species